rnacentral:rRNA from 1 species
CUGCUGCCUUCCGUAGGAGUCUGGGCCGUGUCUCAGUCCCAAUGUGGCCGGCCAACCUCUCAGUCCGGCUACUGAUCGUCGCCUUGGUGGGCCGUUACCCCGCCAACCAGCUAAUCAGACGCGAGUCCAUCUCAGAGCGAUAAAUCUUUGAUAUCCAGAGCCAUGCGACCCAGAUAUGUUAUGCGGUAUUAGCAGCUGUUUCCAGCUGUUAUUCCCCACUCCAAGGCAGGUUACU